UACGUAGGGCGCGAGCGUUGUCCGGAAUUAUUGGGCGUAAAGAGCUCGUAGGCGGCCUGUCGCGUCAAUUGUGAAAGCCCGGGGCUCAACCCCGGGUCUGCAGUCGAUACGGGCAGGCUAGAGUUCGGUAGGGGAGACUGGAAUUCCUGGUGUAGCGGUGGAAUGCGCAGAUAUCAGGAGGAACACCGAUGGCGAAGGCAGGUCUCUGGGCCACUACUGACGCUGAGAAGCGAAAGCAUGGGGAGCGAACAGG
rnacentral:rRNA from 1 species